rnacentral:rRNA from 1 species
CGCCCAAUAGCUAGCUCAACCAACAACACCAACCCACCAUUAUCAAUACCCCUAAAAAUCCCCUUCCUAUUACAACAAACCAUUUUACCCCCUAAGUACGGGCGACGGAAAAAGGCCUAGAAGCAAUAGAAAAAGUACCGCAAGGGAAAGCUGAAAGAGAAAUGAAACAACCCAGUAAAGCACCAAAAAGCAGAGCUUCCCCCUCGUACCUUUUGCAUCAUGAUUUAGCAAGAAACACUUAAGCAAAAAGCACUAUAGUUUAACCCCCCGAAACUAGGUGAGCUACUCCGAGACAGCCUAAAUAUAGGGCACCCCCGUCUCUGUGGCAAAAGAGUGGGAAGAGCUCCGAGUAGAGGUGACAGACCUACCGAACCUAGUUAUAGCUGGUUGCCUAAAAAUUGAAUAAAAGUUCAGCCUUUUAAAUUCUUCUCCCACCUCCGGCCCAGCCCUCCCACAGGUAACAAGAACUUAAAAGAGUUAAUCAAAGGGGGUCCAGCCCCUUUGAUAAAAAGUACAAUUUUUUCAGUAGGAUAAAGAUCAUAAUAAAUAAAGGUAAAUGCCCCAGUGGGCCCAAAAGCAGCCAUCUGAACAGAAAGCGUUAAAGCUUAAGCAUAACUAUUCCUCUAAUACUGACAAUUCUAUCUUAAUCCACUAAUUUUAUUAGGCUUUUCCAUUGACAUGGAAGAAAUUAUGCUAAUAUGAGUAAUAAGAAAGGUUUUGCCUUUCUCCCUGCACACACGUACAUCGGAACGAACCCCCACCGAAAAUUAACGGCCCCAAACCUAGAGGGACCUGAAUAACAAACAAAUUACUAGAAAAACAUCCAACACCCAACCGUUAACCCCACACUGGUGUGCCCCUAGGAAAGACUAAAAGAAAAAGAAGGAACUCGGCAAAUUAUCGAGCCUCGCCUGUUUACCAAAAACAUCGCCUCUUGAAACACAAAACAUAAGAGGUCCCGCCUGCCCAGUGACUAUAAGUUUAACGGCCGCGGUAUUUUGACCGUGCAAAGGUAGCGCAAUCACUUGUCCUUUAAAUGGGGGCCUGUAUGAAUGGCACCACGAGGGCUCAACUGUCUCCUUUUUCCUGUCAAUGAAAUUGAUCUCCCCGUGCAGAAGCGGGGAUUUUUACAUAAGACGAGAAGACCCUAUGGAGCUUUAGACACUAAAGCAGACUAUGUAAAGCACUCUAAAACAAAAGGCUAAACUGACUAGACCCUGCUUAUUAUGCCUUUGGUUGGGGCGACCGCGGGGAAAUAAAAAACCCCCAUGUGGACUAGGAGUACUCACUCCCACAGCCCGGGGCCACAACCCUGAGCAACAGAACAUCUGACCAUUAAUGAUCCGGCAUAGCCGAUCAGCGAACCGAGUUACCCUAGGGAUAACAGCGCAAUCCCCUUCUAGAGCCCGUAUCGACAAGGGGGUUUACGACCUCGAUGUUGGAUCAGGACAUCCUAUUGGUGCAGCCGCUAUUAAGGGUUCGUUUGUUCAACGAUUAAAGUCCUACGUGAUCUGAGUUCAGACCGGAGUAAUCCAGGUCAGUUUCUAUCUAUGAUAUGAUUUUUUCCAGUACGAAAGGACCGAAAAAAAGAGGCCCAUGCUCUAAGCACGCCUCCCCCUUACUUGAUGACAACAACUAAAAUAAGCAAUAGGGCAUGUUUUAUCAAGCUUAAGAAAAUAGCCU